CCCUUCGAUGUUCUGGGCCGCACGCGCGCUACACUGACGAAGUCAGCGAGCAUGUCCUACGCCGACAGGUGCGGGGAAUCUUGUCAAACUUCGUCGUGAUGGGGAUUGAUUUUUGAAAUUCUUGAUCAUAAACGAGGAAUUCCUAGUAAGCGCAAGUCAGCAGCUUGCGUUGAUUACGUCCCUGCCCUUUGUACACACCGCCCGUCGCUACUACCGAUUGAAUGGUUUAGUGAGAUCUUCGGAUUGGCGCCACUGCAGCUCAGCAAUGGGCUUGGUGGAUGCCGAAAAGUUGAUCAAACUUGAUCAUUUAGAGGAAGUAAAAGUCGUAACA
rnacentral:rRNA from 1 species